GUCAAUACAGCCGUCACAGGUGUGGGUGGGGGGAUUGACUAGGCUUGACUAGAGUAUCCUCUCUCUCUCCCUCACUCUCUCUCUCCUCUUAUCCAUAGAAACAAAAGGGGGCCUUUCUCUCUCUCCCUUAUCCACAGAAGAAAAGGGGACCGGGCGGCGGAGGACUCGACGGCCCUCGGGAGAGGCGGCGGUGGCGGUGGGCGGCGGCUCAGCGGCGCGUGGCGGCGGCGCUGGUGCGAAGGCGAAGCGGCGAGGUGGUGCGGCGGCGCUAGGCGGCCAGCGGUGGCGGCGAUGUUGCAAGUCAUCGAUUACAAGUUUCUGAAUCGGGUGUGGUCUUGUUGAAGCCCCAUGAUGUGUUGCCAAUGGAGAUUAAUUGAUUCUAGAAGAAGACCUUUGAACUUUUGUCUUGUUUUUCUUGAAGAUACUAGAGAUGUUUUUAUUGUGAUGUAGCUAGAAAAUUAGAAUCUUAACAUUUUCCCUGAAAUGCAGUGUCUCAAACCUUGUAGUUUCCCAGUAGUUUUUAGUUUUGUAGUUUGUUUUUCGGUUCCUAUUGUAAACCUUGUAAGUUCUUCGGCUUCUUGCCAUCUUUUGAAAGGAAUUAGUUUGAAAUGUUUGGGGUUAAUUAUUA